rnacentral:rRNA from 1 species
UACGGAGGGUGCAAGCGUUAUCCGGAUUCACUGGGUUUAAAGGGUGCGUAGGCGGGCAGGUAAGUCAGGGGUGAAAUCUCCGGGCUUAACCCGGAAACUGCCGUUGAUACUAUCUGUCUUGAAUAUAGUGGAGGUGAGCGGAAUAUGUCAUGUAGCGGUGAAAUGCUUAGAUAUGACAUAGAACACCCAUUGCGAAGGCAGCUCGCUACACUAUCAUUGACGCUGAGGCACGAAAGCGUGGGGAUCAAACAGG